ACAGGAAGGCAAUUCUCUGACCUCUUUUUUGCAGUUGACAUUGUUCUGGUAACCAUAGGCAACACAGAACACUCAAAGGACCAAGGGAGCUUUUGACAGCGAAAGAAUGUUCAGGACAGGAGGCAGGUCUCAAGUUGGGCCUUUGAAGUCUAUGCUGACACAGAGGAGAAGAAAAACCCUCCUUCCAGCCAGGAUGGCAUAAUGAAGAUACAGAGCAAGAAUAACCCAAGUUCUAAAGCAAUAACCCUCAUCGACGGAAGAAGGGAGAGUAAGAUCCGACAAACGGGAUGGAAGGGCAGGCGCCUUUAAAGCCAAUUCAAACGAGGACCUCUCCCAGGCCAUUGGUAUUGACUGGACAUAAACCCAGCACAUCUGUGUAAGAGAUAGAGUCACGUGCACUGACUAGGAGGAUGCAAAACAAUGAGCUUAAAAAUGUAAAAAACAGAUGCAGAAUAAACAUAUAGGACAGUCACAUUCUCUUGCCUGAGGGGCACACAGUACCAAACCCUACUAUACUACUGUCUUCCAUAUGGACAGACCUAUGGGAAACUUUAAUCCACACAUGUGGCAUUGGAAGAGGUUAACAACAGUAACUAGUAAUGAGGCAGAAUCACUAGAACACACUGUGAUAAAAGUAACAUGAUUGGUCUCUCUCCAAAUACUCUGCUAAGCUGCUGGGUUCUCAGGGGCCCCGCUGAGAUACACAAUGCUUGUGUUCCAGGAGUACCUGUUUUAUUUACUGAAGGCCACAGGGUGCAAGACAAGAAUGGUAAUUUAGAUAUUCCAAAGUGAAGCCACGAGGUGAAGGUGAUGGGGAAAAUUCAAGGCUGAGGGGGCUAAGACCCACGGUAAGGAGAAAGCUUAUGUAGGUGACUUCACACCCAUGAAAACUUGAAGAAGAAAAUCGAGAAUGCCAGCGACCACCGUGAACUUCAGUGGAGGAAGCGAACCCACAGGUUCCCAGAACACACUGCCUGAGUUUUCUCACCAGGCUGUGGACAGGUGGCCUGGCAAUGCUACAGCAUUUCUAGACGACUUUCACUGGGCAAAUCAAGCUUGGGUAAAGAAAUAUCCAUGGACAACAGCUGAAAGCGUCCAUCAAAGUCACAUCUGCAUGUUUGCAGGCAACCAAAACGAAUUCUUAAUCUGUUUCCUGUACUUUAAACAUCACUGCCAGUAAAUACUGGGAACUAUGUAUUUAAAUUUUACAUUCUUGGGAUUUAUACACAUUACACUUCUUGUUAACUUCAA